rnacentral:sRNA from 1 species
GCAAAUAUAGAUUCUACCUCUGCAUCGAGUGUGAUACGAUAUUUAUCCACUCGAGACAGUUAAAUUUUCAAACCUAAAACGCGAGGCUCGACGGGCGUUUUCAAUAUUUAAAAUUUAACUGUCGAGAGUGGAUAAUUAUCGUAUUACAUGUACGAGAUUUGGUGAUGGAAUCUGUUUCUCU